GCGCCGUCAUCCCCGCCUCCUGCCGGUGCGCCGCCGGACCCUCCUUCUUCCCUAGAGCGCCGCCACCCCGCUGCCUCCUACCGGCGUGCCGCCGGACCCUCCUUUUUCCCUGGAGCGCUGCCACCCCGCUGCCCCCGCCAUCUCCCACCAUGGGGUAACCCUAGAUGGCCGUCGGCCCGCCGCUGCCGACGUCGCCUCCUUCUCCCUUGGCCCUCAGCCACCCAACGGCCGCUGCAUCACGCCGAUUAGGUCCUACCCCAGGACAGCCACGGGUGUCGUCAUCUCCAGAAGCCUGUCCCCAAAUCGUUGCCACCUGCGCCUCCGAUUCAGCCAAUGUCGAUCAUCUCCCUCUUCGUCCUCCACGGGUGUUGCUCUGCCUCGGUCUAUAAUUAACGUCCAUGCCCCAACGCCUUCUCGCCGUUCCUCCCCUGAGCGCGCCCUGCGGCUAACCCUAGGGACCGAGUCGGGCUUGCCGGCGCGGCCGCAUCGUGUGCUGUUGGCACCCCACUCCACCUGCUCUGCUGCGCCCCGGUCUCCAACAGCCAUUCUGAGGAACCCAUCUCGCCGCCACCAUCGUCUGCUAUCCUCCAGCAAGUGUGCUGCGGUACGCCGAUGUCCUCCGAUCGGCAAGCUCCGCCCCUGCCGGCAUUGUCCACCCACACCAUGUCCUCCUCUUUGCCAAGCAGCGUUAAGCGGUGAUUAGCAGAAGUCCAAGACCACACUGUAGGCAGGAAAAAGGAAUGUUCUUGGGUAAAGAGGUCAAUCUCUUCCAAUACACAAUUGUUGAGGUAUGUAUCAAUGUCUAAAGGUUAAAAAAGAACCAGGUUACACCAUACGGUUUAGGGCGUGUUCGGCAGUCCACCAGCUCCUGGCUCCUUCAACUCCACGGGUGGAGCUGAGCCGAACGCGCUAACUCCUGGAGUUGAAAACGAGAAGCCAGUGAUUUGUGUAGUGCAAAAAACAAGGAGUCGUGGAGUCAAUAAAACCGAGCUCCACCGAACAGAGAAGUGAGAGUUCAAGGAUAUUACACCCCCCUGCCACCGCCAAGUGACUCGCUGUGAACCGGUACGAGGAAACAACACGAGCGGACAGCCAUAUGAGGCCAGCCUCCGACCAGGCCCAGCCAUUUAGACAGCCCACUAUUCCUUUUCCCAGAUCAAAUCCCAAUAAAGGUAGCCACCGACCAGGCCCAGCCUUUUACAAAGCUCGUGACUAGAAGCUAACGCACCGAACGGAUUGGUCGCUCCAGGAUUUGACGCGAGAAGCCGGCUGCUGGCUGGCGGCGAUGGAGUUGGGGAGUUAGCAGCUGUGGUGGACUACCGAACACGCCCUUAGGUUGCUCACCUUGGUUGCUGACCAGGUGUUCAAAAAUCUUAGUGAGAGAGGACAUUGACGGUGCGAGAAUGGAACAUAACAAGUUUUGUGUGUGUGUGUGUGUGUGUGUGCAUUACCGAAACAUUGCACGACAUGUGAGUCUACAUCUAACUUCCUUUCAGCUUUCUAUUGGAAAUAAUUCUUUAGAAAUUUUCACUUGGACACUUAUCCUCUCUUUGUUUAUCAUUUCAUAGGACUAAGAAAAAGUUCAUCUGUGUGUAACUACCAGGUUCUUGAAGUCCGCCCUCUCAUUGAUUGGAACAGGGUGAAAGUUGUGGAAUUUUUGCUGUGACCGCCUGGACUACGAUGACAGGGCUGACAAAGAUGAAGCCAAGUUGAAGAUUCAGAGUUGCAAGGCAGGCAUAGUUAACAGGGAUAAGAAACUAUAGAAGAUUUAUCAAAUCAGACAUGGGCUUGGUUAUGCAAUGAUUCAUUGGGAUCUGAGAAGGUUAUAGGGGUGGCCCGAUAUCAUGGAGACUUGGAGAGGCGCCGUGCUCGGUCCAGUGAGGAGCUCCGGGUCAACACUGUGGCUGCGUGGUGGGCAUGAACCAUGGUUUUGUCAUCCUUGAACCGGUCUGCCCUCAAACGAACCCCUUAGAUGCAGCCAACACCUUGUAGCCCACACAUUACUCUCUUCAGGUCGCCGUUUUGGACCGUGUAGCGGUGUCGCCCGAGAGCCACGCGACUCCCAUAUCGCCCCUCUGGGAGAGCCAUAUUAGGGUGGAUCUAGGCCCAUGCCCGACGAAGAGGGGGUGGCGGAGGGAAGGACUGCUGGUGGUGGCAGUCAUUUGGUGGCGACGACUGGUGAAGCGUGGAAAAGGUCGGGGAGGUGGACCAUUGGGGGAAUGUCAGUGACACCGCCGCUGCUUUCUCU